rnacentral:rRNA from 1 species
ACGGAAGGCAGCAGUGGGGAAUAUUGGGCAAUGGGGGAAACCCUGACCCAGCAACGCCGCGUGAAGGAAGAAGGCCUUCGGGUUGUAGACUUCUUUUACCAGGGACGAUAAUGACGGUACCUGGAGAAAAAGCAACGGCUAACUACGUGCCAGCAGCCGCGGUAAUACGUAGGUUGCAAGCGUUGUCCGGAUUUACUGGGUGUAAAGGGCGUGUAGGCGGAGCUGCAAGUCAGAUGUGAAAUCCCGGGGCUCAACCCCGGAACUGCAUUUGAAACUGUAGCCCUUGAGUAUCGGAGAGGCAAGCGGAAUUCCUAGUGUAGCGGUGAAAUGCGUAGAUAUUAGGAGGAACACCAGAGGCGAAGGCGGCUUGCUGGACGACAACUGACGCUGAGGCGCGAGAGCGUGGGGAGCAAACAGGAUUAGAUACCCUGGUA